UUCGAUAGCACAUGUAUUGUACUUGAAUUGGAACAAUAGAGAGAAGAUUAAAAUGGCCCCUGAACAAAGAUGACAUGCAAAUUUAUAAAGUGUUCAUAUUUUUA